ACCUGGGGAAGAGAAAAUGAACAUUACAGGAGCCAGACCUUUGGCCAAAUCCAGAUGGUGUCUCCAGCAGGGCAGCCCACGAGCCAGCACGGAAGGAGCAGGAUGUGUGUCACCUGAGACUCCGAUGAGGGUGCAAGCCACAGCACUCGUGUGUGAGAACGGAGAGAAGCAGGUGCUGACAGAUGGGACAUGCGUACUGACCUCACGGGCUUGCUGUGAGGACUAGAUGAGAGAAUUCGAGCGUUGGUGAGUAUCUGACUCCUAGAAUAGCCUGUGCUCAGGCUCCUCCAGGCCAUCUCGCCGCUCCCCUGGGAGUCCUCUUCAUCUCCUGCCCACAGAUGAGCUCCUCCCUCCAGUGCCCUCUCUCCAGUGAGGCUAGGGCGCUCCUGCCUUGGGCCUCGGCUGCCUCCACUCUCAGGGUCCCCUGGCUCCCUGGGGUAGGGAAGGCAUGUUGUCCUCCGGACCCUGUGGGCCUCCCAAGCCGUGUCUCCCAGUGCCCUCCCCUCACGAGGCAUCUCUGGCCGGGGGAGGCCCAGUGUGCUCCUAAGUGCUCCCUGCAGCCUGAACUACUGCUCCAUGCACACGUCACAUGGCAGAAACCGCUAGGUCCUGGAGCUCCUCCAUGGGACAAAGCUCCUCCUGGGCAGGGGCCGUGACUUCUUCACUGUUGCAGUCCAGAGCCCAGCACAACACCUGACCCAUAUGAGGACCUGUUCAGUGGACAAGGCCGACCAACUGUAGAGUGUGGCCGUGAGGUUGAGAGAGGCUACUCACAAGUGUCCAGGGUCAGCCUCAGGCCAGCCCAGGACAUGAAACCCUUUAAUGGCAUGUAGAGUCAGCAGGACUCCGGAGCUGCGGCUGUUCAGUAGGAAAGACCAAAAGCAAAUGGUAAACAAGAGAGAAGACACACAUGCAUGCACAAAUAAAAACAGCAGCACCGCCACCACCACCACCGCCGCCGCCACCACCAGCAAG